rnacentral:rRNA from 2 species
UACGUAGGGUGCAAGCGUUAAUCGGAAUUACUGGGCGUAAAGCGUGCGCAGGCGGUUUGGUAAGACAGAUGUGAAAUCCCCGGGCUUAACCUGGGAAUUGCAUUUGUGACUGCCCGGCUAGAGUGUGUCAGAGGGGGGUAGAAUUCCACGUGUAGCAGUGAAAUGCGUAGAUAUGUGGAGGAAUACCGAUGGCGAAGGCAGCCCCCUGGGAUAACACUGACGCUCAUGCACGAAAGCGUGGGGAGCAAACAGG